rnacentral:misc_RNA from 1 species
GAUGAAGAACGUAGCGAAAUGCGAUAAGUAAUGUGAAUUGCAGAAUUCAGUGAAUCAUCGAAUCUUUGAACGCACAUUGCGCCCUCUGGUAUUCCGGGGGGCAUGCCUGUUCGAGCGUCAUUAUAACCACUCAAGCUCUCGCUUGGUAUUGGGGUUCGCGGUUUCGCGGCCCCUAAAAUCACUGGCGGUGCCUGUCGGCUCUACGCGUAGUAAUACUUCUCGCGAUUGAGUUCGAUAGGUCUACUUGCCAGUAACCCCCAAUUUUUACAGGUUGACCUCGGAUCAGGUAGGGAUACCCGCUGAACUUAAGCAUAUCAAUAAGCGGAGGA